rnacentral:SRP_RNA from 1 species
GCCAGGCAUGGUGACGAAUGCCUGUGGUCUUAGCAACUUGGGAGACUGAGUCAGGAGGAUGACUUGAGGCCAGGAGUUCUGGACUGUAGUGUGCUAUGCUGAGUGGGCAUCCAUACUAAGUGCAGUAUCAAUAUGGUGGCCUCCUGGGAGUGGGGGACUACCAGGUUGCCUAAGGAUAGGUUGGCCCACGUCCGAAAUAGAACUGGCCAAAACUUCCAUGUUGAUCAGUAGUGGGAUUGUGUCUAUGAAUAGCCACUGUACUCCAGCCUGGGCAACAUAGAAAGACUCUUUUUUU